ensembl:snRNA U6 U6 spliceosomal RNA
GUGCUCACUUUGGCAGCACAUAUACUAAAAUUGGAAUGAUACAGAGAAUAUUAGCAUGGCCCCUACAGAAGGAUAAUACACAAAUUCAUGAAGCAUUCAAAAAAAAA